GAUGAACGCUGGCGGCGUGCCUAAUACAUGCAAGUCGAGCGAACAGACGAGGAGCUUGCUCCUCUGACGUUAGCGGCGGACGGGUGAGUAACACGUGGAUAACCUACCUAUAAGACUGGGAUAACUUCGGGAAACCGGAACUAAUACCGGAUAAUAUAUUGAACCGCAUGGUUCAAUAGUGAAAGACGGUUUUGCUGUCACUUAUAGAUGGAUCCGCGCCGCAUUAGCUAGUUGGUAAGGUAACGGCUUACCAAGGCAGCGAUGCGUAGCCGACCUGAGAGGGUGAUCGGCCACACUGGAACUGAGACACGGUCCAGACUCCUACGGGAGGCAGCAGUAGGGAAUCUUCCGCAAUGGGCGAAAGCCUGACGGAGCAACGCCGCGUGAGUGAUGAAGGUCUUCGGAUCGUAAAACUCUGUUAUUAGGGAAGAACAAAUGUGUAAGUAACUAUGCACGUCUUGACGGUACCUAAUCAGAAAGCCACGGCUAACUACGUG
rnacentral:rRNA from 1 species